UACAGAGGUCUCAAGCGUUGUUCGGAUUCAUUGGGCGUAAAGGGUGCGUAGGUGGCGGGGUAAGUCAGGUGUGAAAUCUCGGGGCUCAACUCCGAAACUGCACUUGAUACUGCCUUGCUCGAGUACUGGAGAGGAGAUUGGAAUUUACGGUGUAGCAGUGAAAUGCGUAGAUAUCGUAAGGAAGACCAGUGGCGAAGGCGAAUCUCUGGACAGUUACUGACACUGAGGCACGAAGGCCAGGGGAGCAAACGGG
rnacentral:rRNA from 1 species